rnacentral:rRNA from 1 species
UACGGGGGGGGCAAGCGUUGUUCGGAAUUACUGGGCGUAAAGGGUUGUAGGUGGCCAACUAAGUCAGACGUGAAAUCCCUCAGCUUAACUGGGGAACUGCGUCUGAUACUGGUUGGCUUGAGUGCAGGAGAGGAAUGCGGAAUUCCAGGUGUAGCGGUGAAAUGCGUAGAUAUCUGGAGGAACACCGGUGGCGAAGGCGGCAUUCUGGACUGCAACUGACACUGAAGAACGAAAGCCAGGGGAGCAAACGGG